GCCUGUUCUAAGUCAUUCAGUCUCCUCUGAAUGGAAUGCCAAAGCCAAGUUCCGUUGGAUGGACAGAUGGAUGGACAGAUGGAUGGUGAGCAAUCGUGACCUCAGGUUGGCUCCUGUCACUGGGAAAACCUGUGGAAGGUGGAGGGGCAGUGUGGACAUGCAGAGGCACCGUGAGCUCCUGGCACACACUAGGGCUCAGCAGGGCUGCUCUGGCUCCGGUCAGUGCAGAGUUGAGCUGUGUGGAGCUGGGCUGACCUCGGGCUUUGUACGCUCCCUCCCACAAGGAGCGCCGGCCCUGGACACCCGCAGGGUCAGACCCACAGGGCCUAUGCUCCUGCCCCCGGGGGUGUCAUCUGACGGGGGAUUCCUGCGCGCUCGGUCCACUGCUUCGUUGGUCCCAGGAGGGAGCUGAGCAGAAGCACCUGGUCUGGGGAAGCCCAUGAGGGCUGCUGGCAGGCAAGCCCACAGCUUCACAACAGAUCUCUGAAGGCGAGGAGGCCGGGACCUGCCAUUACCCCAGUGAACUCACAACCUCAGCGAGGAAACCCUGGCCAUCCCGUGCCAUGAUGUUCCUGGUCCAUUCAUGAAGAUCAGAUGAGCGUCCCACAGGAGGCAGAGUUUCCCGGAAAGAAGGAGCUGGCCUUGCAUAAGAGAGAUACAGAGACCACAAGAGAGCAGACGGUUGCUUGGCAAAGGCAUGUUGGAGAGGCGAGUGGGACCUGAUCCAGAAGAGGCAGGUGUGACCCCAGGAACCAGAUCACACCCACCAUGAUGGCUGCUUAAAGAGGACGCACAGGGUCCACUGAGGCAGGCUGCAGGCAGCCAUCAGUGCGGACAGCUCCUGCCUGCGAUCGAGGGCA